rnacentral:rRNA from 1 species
UGGGGAAUAUUGGACAAUGGGCGAAAGCCUGAUCCAGCCAUGCCGCGUGUGUGAAGAAGGUCUUCGGAUUGUAAAGCACUUUAAGUUGGGAGGAAGGGCAGUAAGCGAAUACCUUGCUGUUUUGACGUUACCGACAGAAUAAGCACCGGCUAACUCUGUGCCAGCAGCCGCGGUAAUACAGAGGGUGCAAGCGUUAAUCGGAAUUACUGGGCGUAAAGCGCGCGUAGGUGGUUCGUUAAGUUGAAUGUGAAAGCCCCGGGCUCAACCUGGGAACUGCAUCCAAAACUGCCGAGCUAGAGUAGGGCAGAGGGUGGUGGAAUUUCCUGUGUAGCGGUGAAAUGCGUAGAUAUAGGAAGGAACACCAGUGGCGAAGGCGACCACCUGGGCUCAUACUGACACUGAGGUGCGAAAGCGUGGGGAGCAAACAGG